CCUACGGGCGGCAGCAGUGGGGAAUAUUGCUCAAUGGGGGAAACCCUGAUGCAGCGACGCCGCGUGAGUGAAGAAGUAUUUCGGUAUGUAAAGCUCUAUCAGCAGGGAAGAAAAGGACGGUACCUGAUUAAGAAGCCGCGUCUAACUACGUGCCACCAGCCGCGGUAACACGUAGGGGGCCAGCGUUAUCCGGAUUUACUGGGCGUAAAGGGAGCGUAGACGGCAGCAACAGUCUGGAGUGAAAUGCCCGGGGUUAACCCCGGAAGUGCUGUGGAAACCGGGCAGCUAGAGUGCAGGAGAGGUAAGUGGAAUGCGUAGUGUAGCGGUGAAAUGCAUAGAUAUUAGGAAGAACACCGAUGGCGAAGGCAGCUUACUGGACUGUAACUGACGUUGAGGCUCGAAAGCGUGGGGAGCAAACAGGAUUAGAUACCCGUGUAGUC
rnacentral:rRNA from 1 species